UCCUACGGGGGGCAGCAGUGGGGGAUAUUGCACAAUGGGGGGAACCCUGAUGCAGCGACGCCGCGUGGGUGAAGGAGCGUUUCGGCGCGUAAAGCCCUAUCGGCAGGGAAGAAGAUGACGGUACCUGACCAAGAAGCCCCGGCUAACUACGUGCCAGCAGCCGCGGUAAUACGUAGGGGGCAAGCGUUAUCCGGAUUUACUGGGUGUAAAGGGAGCGUAGACGGCUGCGCAAGUCAGAAGUGAAAGCCCGGGGCUCAACCGCGGGACUGCUUUUGAAACUGUGUAGCUAGAGUGCAGGAGGGGUA
rnacentral:rRNA from 1 species